rnacentral:rRNA from 1 species
UACAGAGGUCUCAAGCGUUGUUCGGAUUCAUUGGGCGUAAAGGGUGCGUAGGUGGCGCUGUAAGUCAGGUGUGAAAUUUCGGAGCUUAACUCCGAAACUGCAUUUGAUACUGCGGUGCUCGAGGACUGGAGAGGAGACUGGAAUUUACGGUGUAGCAGUGAAAUGCGUAGAGAUCGUAAGGAAGACCAGUGGCGAAGGCGGGUCUCUGGACGAGUUC